CUUGGACUGAUACCCACAGUCACUCUCUGAGUCAUCAGUUGCUGCAGGGUGUGUCCACUGAAGGUCAGCUGUCUCUGUCCUCUUCAGGAAUUUAUUCACAAUGCUCCUAAAGCUACCGUGACGUCACCCAUUGGUUUAUGGACUCCUGUUUUGAAGCCUGGACUUCAGCAUUUCGGCCGUCACCAUCUUGGUUUUUUGGAGCCAGAAGUGACCAAUAAGGGCAAGAGGGUGGAGCUGUGGAGCAGCUGAGGACACUAUCACCAGACAGCCUGUCUCUCAAAACAGCCUGCCCUUAUUGAUGCGUAACUUUAAGACCUAACAAAAUGUAAACAGGUAUGUUUUAUAUAAAAACUCACGUCCCAUACAGUCAUUACGAACAGGGAACAGCAAACAGCUAUAGAGAUCCAAACUGUUUUUUUGUACCAGGCUGUUUAUUUCUGCUGUAAAGUUGGAUAUUGUAACAUGGUGGUCUAUGUAGUGUUGCUUUCAUCAACGAAAAGUAUGACUACAUAUCGUCGUCAACAAACCUUUAUCACGUGAUGAAAAUGAGACGAGACGCAACGUAAAUGGUGGUCAUGUGAUGAUAACUAGGCUAUAAUUAAAUAUAUAAUGCAAUAUUGUUGACGAAUAAAAACGAGACUAAAUGUGGUUUACAAAAAAAAACCUCUGCUAAAAUGUCUUUUCAUUUUUGUUGACCAAAACGAGACGAGACGAAAUAAUGUUAUAAUGUUUAGUCAUGUUAUUAUUAUUAUUUUGCAGUAUUUCUGUGUCCUAGGCUGUGCGUCGCACUGCACAGACGGAUUACAGCCGUGACGAUAUACAGUACAACAUCACUCGCUGUCAUGUGAUAUUGCUUUUAUACAACAGUUCAACAACAGCUUAAACAGCAACGCUGAGUAAGGAAAUGUUAACAAAAGGUGAUGAAAUAAAUUAUUUAAGUAUGUUAGCUCCGCGAAAAAAAACAGUUCCGCCAGUCUGUUGCCAGGCAACGCGGCACACACACCAGGAACUCACAAGCUACUUUGCAUUUACAUCGAUCUGCAACUGUGUAACUUCGUCUAGUUCGGCUGAUGAGACGUUGGCAAACCUGGAUGUUGGCACAGCCGGAUUCAGCUUCAAAUCUCCCUCAUCCUCAUCAAUACCUCAUCAGAUGAUCAUUGAUAAUUCUUGACCGUGUUUGCUUCAUUUUUGCUCCUCUCCAGUUUGUCGAGGUCGGCUGAUGUUACACAAACACACCUGGAGGUCUGCACAGAAGGGUCCUGGCUUUCCUUUUCCUCAUCCUCUCCUGACGACCUCUCAUAAUUUAAUUCAAAUAUAAUUUUGGGGAAAAUAUCCAUCUUCUUGGUGUAACGCUAGUGUCAGUUUGUGUCAAUGUAGCGAGUGUGAUAGUUGGUUAAUUAACGGCUGUAUUUAUAUUUAUUUACAUGGCUCUGUUAAAUGCUGUAUUCUGAUUGGUCAGUCACGGCAUUCAGAGGUCUGAUAAUACUGUGUAUUGACCGUUGCUAUGUAGCCCAGCGUUGCUAGGGACGCUGCCCUGACAAGGAGAUUCAGCCGCAGGGCAGGGUGCGCGUCGGGGUUCUAUUCCCCUGUCGGGAGUUAUUUUCUCAGUAUUCACCAGCUCAUUAUACAUUAUCCCGUACUUAUAACACCUGUGAGCGGAGUGAUUUUACUGUUACAAGUCCCAGUGAUGUUAUACUCUAUAUCAGCAUUCCAGGAAUGCCUCUUG